rnacentral:rRNA from 1 species
UACGUGGGGGGCAAGCGUUGUUCGGAAUUACUGGGCGUAAAGGGCUCGUAGGCGGCCAACUAAGUCAUACGUGAAAUCCCUCGGCUUAACCGGGGAACUGCGUCUGAUACUGGAUGGCUUGAGUUCGGGAGAGGGAUGCGGAAUUCCAGGUGUAGCGGUGAAAUGCGUAGAUAUCUGGAGGAACAUCUGUGGCGAAGGCGACUGCCUGGACCAGCACUGACACUGAGGCACGAAAGCGUGGGGAGCAAACAGG